GGGGAGGUCCACAUGCAUAGAUUGGGGAGUUCUUCCUCCCUGGUGUCGCACAACACACCUUUCUACCCUUCCCAGACUGACCUGGGCUGAUGCUGACCAUGAAGUGGAUCAUCCUGCACUGUGCACUGUGACUGGCAGGGGGCGCCGAAACCGCCUUUUCUGCCCCACAUGGUGCGCAUGCGUGUUCUCAACGCAGAGGCUUCGUGGCGUGCGUGGUGUAAAUGGCUGCGGUUCCUUCGGGACCCGCUUGAGGGGGCACCGCGGCGCUUGGGGAUGACUUGGAGACUCCCCCCCCCCGGGGAGGAAACGGCUCCUGUCUGUGGCCCUGACUGUUUAGGUGGGAGCUGCCUGCAGCUCAGAUUCUCCAGGGCACUUCUUUCUACACGGUCACUCUCACCCAAGCUGGAGCACAGUGGCAUAUCACAAGACCAUGCAGAUUGGAAUAUUGGCUACCUACAGCUUGCAACACAGUUUGAUAUCAGGAAUUGUGCAACCUUGUGGUUCCCCAUGUUAUGAGUUCAUUGUGGUUUUCUGUCUGAAGAGUAUCCCAGUGUGUACAUGUGGAGCAGCGUCUUUAUCCCUUCAUCUGUGGAUA